GAUGAACGCUAGCUACAGGCUUAACACAUGCAAGUCGAGGGGAAACGACAUCGAAAGCUUGCUUUUGAUGGGCGUCGACCGGCGCACGGGUGAGUAACGCGUAUCCACCCUGCCCACCACUUGGGGAUAACCUUGCGUAAGUAAGACUAAUACCCAAUGAUAUCUCUAGAAGACAUCUGCAAGAGAUUAAAGAUUUAUCGGUGAUGGAUGGGGAUGCGUCUGAUUAGCUUGUUGGCGGGGUAACGGCCCACCAAGGCUACGAUCAGUAGGGGUUCUGAGAGGAAGGUCCCCCACAUUGGAACUGAGACACGGUCCAAACUCCUACGGGAGGCAGCAGUGAGGAAUAUUGGUCAAUGGACGGGAGUCUGAACCAGCCAAGUAGCGUGCAGGAUGACGGCCCUAUGGGUUGUAAACUGCUUUUAUAAGGGAAUAAAGUGAGUCUCGUGAGACUUUUUGCAUGUGCCUUAUGAAUAAGGACCGGCUAAUUCCGUGCCAGCCGCCGCCGUAA
rnacentral:rRNA from 1 species